rnacentral:rRNA from 1 species
AGUCACUGCUAUUGGGAUUCGACUAAGCCAUGCGAGUCGAGAGGGUUCGGCCCUCGGCAGACGGCUCAGUAACACGUGGAUAAUCUGCCCUUAGGUGGAGGAUAACCUCGGGAAACUGAGAAUAAUACUCCAUAGAUCUAGGAUGCUGGAAUGCAUCUAGGUUGAAAGUUCCGGCGCCUAAGGAUGAGUCUGCGGACUAUCAGGCUGUAGUCAGGGUAAAGACCUGACUAACCUACGACGGAUACGGGUUGUGAGAGCAAUAACCCGGAGACGAUAUCUGAGACACGAUACCGGGCCCUACGGGGCGCAGCAGGCGCGAAACCUUCACACUGUGCGAAAGCGCGAUGAGGGGAUCCAAGUGCUUGCACGUAAGUGUAAGCUGUUUCUGUGUCUAAAAAGCAUAGAGAGUAAGGGCUGGGUAAGACGGGUGCCAGCCGCCGUGGUAAUACCUGCAGCUCAAGUGGUGACCGCUACAUUGGGCCUAAAACGUCCGUAGCCGGUUUAGUAAAUGCCUGGGUAAAUCGUGUAGCUUAACUAUACGAAUUCCGGGUAGACUGCUAAACUUGAGACCGGGAGAGGCUAGAGGUACUUCUGGGGUAGAGGUGAAAUUCUGUAAUCCUAGGGGGACCACCAGUGGCGAAGGCGUCUAGCUAGAACGGGUCUGACGGUGAGGGACGAAGCCCUGGGGCGCAAACCGGAUUAGACACCCGGGUAGUCCAGGGUGUAAACGCUGCUUGCUUGAUGUUAGUCGGGCUCUGAGCCCGAUUAGUGUCGGAGAGAGGUUGUUAAGCAAGCUGCCUGGGAAGUACGGUCGCAAGGCUGAAACUUAAAGGAAUUGGCGGGGGAGCACAGCAACGGGUGGAGCGUGCGGUUUA